CCUACGGGCGGCAGCAGUGGGGAAUAUUGGACAAUGGGGGCAACCCUGAUCCAGCCAUGCCGCGUGUGUGAAGAAGGCCCUCGGGUUGUAAAGCACUUUCAGUGAGGAAGAACGCCUGGUGGUUAAUACCCAUCAGGAAAGACAUCACUCACAGAAGAAGCACCGGCUAACUCCGUGCCAGCAGCCGCGGUAAUACGGAGGGUGCGAGCGUUAAUCGGAAUUACUGGGCGUAAAGUGCGCGUAGGUGGCUUGAUAAGCCGGUUGUGAAAGCCCCGGGCUCAACCUGGGAACGGCAUCCGGAACUGUCAAGCUAGAGUGCAGGAGAGGAAGGUAGAAUUCCCGGUGUAGCGGUGAAAUGCGUAGAGAUCGGGAGGAAUACCAGUGGCGAAGGCGGCCUUCUGGACUGACACUGACACUGAGGUGCGAAAGCGUGGGUAGCAAACAGGAUUAGAUACCCGUGUAGUC
rnacentral:rRNA from 1 species